rnacentral:tRNA from 1 species
AGCAUCUUGGCGCAGCAGGAAGCGCGCAGGGCUCAUAACCCUGAGGUCCUCCGAUCGAAACGGAGAGAUGCUA